rfam:Citrus clementina cultivar Clemenules unplaced genomic scaffold scaffold_3, whole genome shotgun sequence.
AUGAGCUUUAACUUGAACAGGAUCUGUUCUAUAGGCUCGUACCUCUGUGUCCUUGAGUUCUAAGGAGACAAGAUAUCAAGUCUGGUGGAUGAAUCAUGACCGUGUGAUCAGAGCGUGAGUAACGGCCGUCACCGACC